rnacentral:ncRNA from 1 species
CACAAAGGCUUGGUCCUGACUUUGCUAUCAGCUCUAACCAAACUUACACAUGCAAGUAUCCGCACCCCUGUGAGAAUGCCCUGCAGCCUUCUGGAUGAAGACAAGGAGCCGGCAUCAGGCACAAUACUUUUAGCCCACGACGCCUUGCUAAGCCACACCCCCAAGGGAACUCAGCAGUGAUAAAUAUUAAGCCAUGAGUGAAAACUUGACUUAGUUAAUGUUUACAGGGUCGGUAAAUCUCGUGCCAGCCACCGCGGUUAUACGAGAGACCCAAGUUGAUCGCCAGCGGCGUAAAGCGUGGUUAAGGUGUCUCGAAACUAAAGCCAAACAACCUCAAAGCUGUUAUACGCGAAUGAGAAAAUGAAGCCCAACUACGAAAGUGGCUUUAAACCCCUGACCCCACGAAAGCUACGACACAAACUGGGAUUAGAUACCCCACUAUGCCUAGCCCUAAACAACGAUGACACAACACCUAGUUAUCCGCCCGGGAACUACGAGCAACAGCUUAAAACCCAAAGGACUUGGCGGUGCUUUAGACCCACCUAGAGGAGCCUGUUCUAGAACCGAUAAUCCCCGUUGAACCUCACCUUUCCUUGCCUAAUCCGCCUAUAUACCGCCGUCGUCAGCUUACUCUGUGAGGAGUGCGAAGUAAGCAUAAUCGGUACAACCAAAAACGCCAGGUCGAGGUGUAGCGUAUGGAAAGGGAAGAAAUGGGCUACAUUCAUUAGUUAUAAUGAACACGGAUGAUAUCCUGAAACAAAUAUCUGAAGGAGGAUUUAGCAGUAAGAAGGGAGCAGAGUGCUCUUCUGAAGCCGGCUCUGAAGCGCGUACACACCGCCCGUCACUCUCCCCGAGCUAAAAACUCUUUAUUACUAAUAAACCAGAACUGUAAAGGGGAGGCAAGUCGUAACAUGGNAAGNGUACCNGAAGGUGCGCUUG